UGUUUGUGUGUUGAGAUGGGGUCUCAUUGUGUAGCUCCAGCUUGCCUGAACCUUAAUACAUGGACUGGCUGGUCUGGAACUCACAGAAAUUUCUCUGCCUUUGCCUCCCAAAAUGCUGGGAGUAGAGGCAACCUCCACCACACAUGGCUAGUAGUGUGAUCUUAGAUUACAGAAUGAAAUAGCCGUGAUGUUGCUGUUGAGUCACUCGCAGACAGAAUCUUGGCAUUUCUAUGGCAACCACCACAGAGGAAGACCUGUAACUGGCUAGGGAAGUAUUGCUGUUUAUCAUAAUAGAAGAGAUGACUCAGAAGGUAGGAGCACUUGCUGUUCUCACAGAGGACCCAAGCGUAGUUCCCAGUACUGACAUAGAGAGGUUAACGACCACCUAUAACUCCAGUACCAGACGAUCUGUCCUCCUCCUUUGGCUUCUGCAAGCACCCACAUGCACAUGUAUUCAUAAGCAUGUGUGCACAGGCACACACACACACACACACACACACACAUACACACACUAAACACAUAAAUAAAUUAGUUAAUUAAUAAUAAAAUGCAAAAAUAAAGAGAUUUCAGAGGAAUGGAGAGC
rnacentral:lncRNA from 1 species